UAUCAGAGACAAGCAGGAAGAAUUUCAUCGAGUUCCAUUUCAGCUAAACGUUUCCGUAUUCGCGGAAAGCGUAUCGACAAGCGGUGAGAGUGAAACGUACGCGAUAAAGAAAAUGUCGAAAAAACAAACACACGCUCGGGUGCUUGCCAGAGGAGACAGGUUAAAUCGGUAAGAAAAACUUAACGAACGGCGUUAACGAUGAAAAACUCGAGCAACCGGAAGAGGAAAACAACGCGAGGACAAGCCGAGUUUCGUUUCAUUGAAGAGUCUCUUGGUGGUUGUUGCACUUUCUUGUCGGCUAAUGAGUCAGUAUUUAUUGCCUGACCUUUGACGGUUCAGGCACCCUGUCUUUUCUUCGGUUUCUUUCACUACUUUGGAUACCAUUCAAAUUAACCCUUUAACGACGAAAUGCCAUCGAUUGAAAAUGUUAAGUAAGACAUGCGCAAAACUGAAAUACACGAACGUUAUCGAUAGAAGGUUAA